UACGAGGGGGGCGAGCGUUGUUCGGAAUUAUUGGGCGUAAAGGGUGCGUAGGCGGUUUGGUAAGUCUUGUGUGAAAUCUCCAGGCUCAACUUGGAGUCUGCACGAGAAACUGCCGGGCUUGAGUGUGGGAGAGGUGAGUGGAAUUCCUGGUGUAGCGGUGAAAUGCGUAGAUAUCAGGAGGAACACCGAUUGCGAAGGCAGCUCGCUGGAACGUAACUGACGCUGAGACGCGAAAGCGUGGGGAGCAAACAGG
rnacentral:rRNA from 1 species